rnacentral:rRNA from 1 species
AUUGAACGCUGGCGGCAUGCCUUACACAUGCAAGUCGAACGGCAGCGGACCUUCGGGUGCCGGCGAGUGGCGAACGGGUGAGUAAUGUAUCGGAACGUACCUUUCAGUGGGGGAUAACGUAGCGAAAGUUACGCUAAUACCGCAUAUUCUGUGAGCAGGAAAGCAGGGGAUCGCAAGACCUUGCGCUGAUUGAGCGGCCGAUAUCAGAUUAGCUAGUUGGUGAGGUAAAGGCUCACCAAGGCGACGAUCUGUAGCGGGUCUGAGAGGAUGAUCCGCCACACUGGAACUGAGACACGGUCCAGACUCCUACGGGAGGCAGCAGUGGGGAAUUUUGGACAAUGGGCGCAAGCCUGAUCCAGCCAUGCCGCGUGAGUGAAGAAGGCCUCGGUUG